rnacentral:rRNA from 1 species
UUAAAAAUACCGGACCGGGGCUUGAACCGCACGGUUCAGGGAUGAAAGAUGGCUUCGGCUGUCACUUACAGAUGGACCCGCGGCGCAUUAGCUAGUUGGUGAGGUAAUGGCUCACCAAGGCGACGAUGCGUAGCCGACCUGAGAGGGUGAUCGGCCACACUGGGACUGAGACACGGCCCAGACUCCUACGGGAGGCAGCAGUAGGGAAUCUUCCGCAAUGGACGAAAGUCUGACGGAGCAACGCCGCGUGAGUGAUGAAGGUUUUCGGAUCGUAAAGCUCUGUUGUUAGGGAAGAACAAGUGCGAGAGUAACUGCUCGCACCUUGACGGUACCUAACCCGAAAGCCACGGCUAACUACGUGCCCGCAGCCGCGGUAAUACGUAGGUGGCAAGCGUUGUCCGGAAUUAUUGGGCGUAAAGGGCUCGCAGGGGGUUUCUUAAGUCUGAUGUGAAAGCCCCCGGCUCAACCGGGGAGGGUCAUUGGAAACUGGGAAACUUGAGUGCAGAAGAGGAGAGUGGAAUUCCACGUGUAGCGGUGAAAUGCGUAGAGAUGUGGAGGAACACCAGUGGCGAAGGCGACUCUCUGGUCUGUAACUGACGCUGAGGAGCGAAAGCGUGGGGAGCGAACAGGAUUAGAUACCCUGGUAGUCCACGCCGUAAACGAUGAGUGCUAAGUGUUAGGGGGGUUUCCGCCCCUUAGUGCUGCAGCUAACGCAUUAAGCACUCCGCCUGGGGAGUACGGUCGCAAGACUGAAACUCAAAGGAAUUGACGGGGGCCCGCACAAGCGGUGGAGCAUGUGGUUUAAUUCGAAGCAACGCGAAGAACCUUACCAGGUCUUGACAUCCUCUGACAACCCUAGAGAUAGGGCUUUCCCUUCGGGGACAGAGUGACAGGUGGUGCAUGGUUGUCGUCAGCUCGUGUCGUGAGAUGUUGGGUUAAGUCCCGCAACGAGCGCAACCCUUGAUCUUAGUUGCCAGCAUUCAGUUGGGCACUCUAAGGUGACUGCCGGUGACAAACCGGAGGAAGGUGGGGAUGACGUCAAAUCAUCAUGCCCCUUAUGACCUGGGCUACACACGUGCUACAAUGGACAGAACAAAGGGCAGCAAGACCGCGAGGUUAAGCCAAUCCCAAAAAUCAAAUAUCAGUUCCCGGGCCUUGUACACACCGAGUCAGGCC